GCGAUCAUACCACCACUAAUGCACCGGAUCCCAUCAGAACUCCGUAGUCAAGCGUGCUUGAGCGAGAGUAGUACUAGGAUGGGUGACCUCCUGGGAAGUCCUCGUGUUGCACCCC
rnacentral:rRNA from 1 species